rnacentral:rRNA from 1 species
ACCCGUUGAUCCUGCGGGAGAUUGCUGCUAUUGGAGUUCGAUUUAGCCAUGCAAGUCGAGGGAGCCUUUCGGGGCGACCGGCAUAAGGCUGAGUAACACGUCAGUAACUUGCCCUAUAGUCUGGAAUAGCCUCGGGAAACUGAGGGUAAGACCGGAUAGGAACUUAUACCUGGAAUGGUUUUGUUCUUAAAGAUUACGCUGUAGGAUAGGCUGGCGGCUGAUUAGGUAGAUGGCGGGGUAACGGCCCACCAUGCCGACGAUCAGUAUGGGUCAUGAGAGUGAUAGCCCACAGAGGGACACUGAGAUACUGGUCCCAGCCCUACGGGGUGCAGCAGGCGCGAAACCUUUACAAUGCACGCAAGUGUGAUAAGGGAACUCCAAGUGCUUAUACAUUGUAUAGGCUUUUUUUAAGAGUAAAUAUCUUAGAGAAUAAGUGGUGGGAAAGACUGGUGCCAGCAGCCGCGGUAACACCAGCGCCACGAGUGGCAAUCGGCUUUAUUGGGUCUAAAGCGUCCGUAGUCGGUUUGAUCAAUCUUUUGUGAAAUCGCCAAGCUUAACUUGGCGGCGUGCGGGAGAUAUUGUCAAACUAGGGACCGGGAGGAGUUAGAAGUAUUCUUGAGGGAGCGGUAAAAUGUGAUAAUCUCAAGCAGACUACCUGUGGCAAAGGCGUCUAACUAGAACGGAUCUGACGAUGAGGGACGAAGGCUAGGGGAGCAAACCGGAUUAGAUACCCGAGUAGUCCUAGCAGUAAACGCUGUGAGCUAGGUGUUGCAAAUCUUUCGAGGAUUUGCAGUGUCGUAGAGAAGUCGUUAAGCUCACCACCUGGGAAGUACGGUCGCAAGACUGAAACUUAAAGGAAUUGGCGGGGGAGCACUACAAGGGGUGCGGCGUGCUGUUUAAUCUAACUCAACGCAGAGAAUCUCACCAGCAGCGACGGCAAGAUGAAGGUCAGUCUAAAGGGCUUACUAGAUGAGCCGAGAGGUAGUGCAUGGCCGUCGUCAGCUCGUGCCGUAAGGUGUCCUGUUAAGUCAGGCAACGAGCGAGACCUGUGCUUACAAUUGCCAGCAAGUCCUUCGGGAUGAUUGGGCACUUUGUAGGGACUGCCUUGGAAACAAGGAGGAAGGUGCAGGCAACGGUAGGUCUGUAUGCUCCGAAUCUGCUGGGCUACAAGCGCGCAACAAUGGUAAGGACAAUGGGAUGCUACUCCGAAAGGAGACGCUAACCCUCUAAACCUUAUCUCAGUCUAGAUCGUGGGUUGGAACUCACCCACGUGACAGCGGAAUCCCUAGUAAUCGGUUUUCAUCAUAGACCGGUGAAUAUGUCCCUGCUCCUUGCACACACCGCCCGUCAAACCACUCGAGCAGAGUUGCGGUGAGCCCUGGUUUUUUGAUCAGGUCGAACCGUGUCUCAGUGAGAUGGGUUAAGUCGUCACAAGGUA